GGACUACUGGGGUAUCUAAUCCCGUUUGCUCCCCUGGCUUUCGCGCCUCAGCGUCAGUAGGGACCCAGCGGACCGCUUUCGCCACCGGCGUUCCUUCCGAUAUCAACGCAUUUCACCGCUCCACCGGAAGUUCCGUCCGCCCCUAUCCCCCUCCAGCCCCGCAGUAUCCCGGGCCCUUUUCCGGUUAAGCCGAAAGAUUUCACCCGAGACUGGCGGAGCCGCCUACGCGCCCUUUAAGCCCAGUGAUUCCGAACAACGUUCGCUCGGUUCGUCUUACCGCGGCUGCUGGCAC
rnacentral:rRNA from 1 species